AUGAACAUCUUUGUCAAUAACCCCACCGGAACAACGUUCCGGGUCUGGGUUCACCCAUCAGACACCGUGUGUUCCGUCAUGGAGAACAUCCACAACCGGUAUCGCCUCAUCUUCAAUGGGGUGCAGCUACAGGAUAACUGUAGAUUGGCCGAUUACAACAUCCAGGAGGACUCCACUCUUGACCUUGAAGAGAAGAUGCAGAUCCACGUGAUGGAGACGCUGAUCACCAUCGACCUUGACUUCAACAGCCUAGACACUAUCGACGGCGUGAAGGCCAAGAUCUAUCGCCUCAAGGGCUUUCCUGUAGAUCAGCAGUGCCUCCUCUUCGCCGGCAAGCGUCUAGAGAACGGGAACCGCACCUUGGCAGACCACAACAUAUGCAUGGAGUCCACGAUACUCCUUGUCCUCCUCCCAUGUAUUCCGAGAGGACACAUGAUGCAGAUCUUCGUGAAGGGGCUAACUGGGAAGACCAUCACUCUCCAGGUUGGGAGCUCGGACACCGUCGAUAGUGUCAAGGUGAAGAUCUAUGAGAGGAACCACGCCCCUUUCCCGAAUGUGCAACGCCUCAUCUUUGCUGGCAGGCAGCUGGAGGGAGGGCGCACCUUGGCGGACUCCAAGAUUACAAAGCAUUGCACCCUUCAUUUGAGUCUACACCUUCGUGGUGGUUGA
rnacentral:rRNA from 1 species